rnacentral:rRNA from 1 species
UGCUCGAGUGGCGAACGGGUGAGUAACACGUGAGUAACCUGCCCUUGACUUUGGGAUAACUUCAGGAAACUGGGGCUAAUACCGGAUAGGAGCUCCUGCUGCAUGGUGGGGGUUGGAAAGUUUCGGCGGUUGGGGAUGGACUCGCGGCUUAUCAGCUUGUUGGUGGGGUAGUGGCUUACCAAGGCUUUGACAGGUAGCCGGCCUGAGAGGGUGACCGGCCACAUUGGGACUGAGACACGGCCCAG